UUACCUACCGGAGAACUCCGGUGGUUCUUCGACGCAAUGAAGACGAUGAGGACCCCUCAGGUAUGUCUUCUUUUCCCAUUCAUCCUUCUCUUUCGGAUUUUGGUUUCUGCGUUUCGUGCUGUACGACAUUAUCGUAAAUCCUUGAUGCAGAGAUGAAGGUUCGAGGAAUUCAUUGUUGUUGUUGCGGAAGUUUGUUGAUGAUUGAAGAAUUGAUGAUGAUCGGAUGCAGAAUCGGUGCCGGUUUUGCAUAUUCGAAAUAACUGAAGCAGACAGAAUUGAGGAUUCAGAAGUGUUGAAGCUUGGAGAUGAAGAGGAGAAUUCUUCAAAAGGUUGUUGAACAAAUGAAGAUUGAGGGAGAGUAGAGAGGCUGAUUUCAAACGAUGCAAUGCAGGGCAUGUUUGGAUUAUUUUGGUGCACUAAAUUGAGGUGAAGAAUCGGAUAUAUGAACUGCUGAUUUUUGACGAGCACAAGGCAUGAGGU